rnacentral:rRNA from 1 species
UACAUAGGGUGCUAUAAUGCAGUCGAGCGAGCUUGCCUAGAUGAAUUUGGUGCUUGCACCAAAUGAAACUAGAUACAAGCGAGCGGCGGACGGGUGAGUAACACGUGGGUAACCUGCCCAAGAGACUGGGAUAACACCUGGAAACAGAUGCUAAUACCGGAUAACAACACUAGACGCAUGUCUAGAGUUUAAAAGAUGGUUCUGCUAUCACUCUUGGAUGGACCUGCGGUGCAUUAGCUAGUUGGUAAGGUAACGGCUUACCAAGGCAAUGAUGCAUAGCCGAGUUGAGAGACUGAUCGGCCACAUUGGGACUGAGACACGGCCCAAACUCCUACGGGAGGCAGCAGUAGGGAAUCUUCCACAAUGGACGCAAGUCUGAUGGAGCAACGCCGCGUGAGUGAAGAAGGGUUUCGGCUCGUAAAGCUCUGUUGGUAGUGAAGAAAGAUAGAGGUAGUAACUGGCCUUUAUUUGACGGUAAUUACUUAGAAAGUCACGGCUAACUACGUGCCAGCAGCCGCGGUAAUACGUAGGUGGCAAGCGUUGUCCGGAUUUAUUGGGCGUAAAGCGAGUGCAGGCGGUUCAAUAAGUCUGAUGUGAAAGCCUUCGGCUCAACCGGAGAAUUGCAUCAGAAACUGUUGAACUUGAGUGCAGAAGAGGAGAGUGGAACUCCAUGUGUAGCGGUGGAAUGCGUAGAUAUAUGGAAGAACACCAGUGGCGAAGGCGGCUCUCUGGUCUGCAACUGACGCUGAGGCUCGAAAGCAUGGGUAGCGAACAGGAUUAGAUACCCUGGUAGUCCAUGCCGUAAACGAUGAGUGCUAAGUGUUGGGAGGUUUCCGCCUCUCAGUGCUGCAGCUAACGCAUUAAGCACUCCGCCUGGGGAGUACGACCGCUAGGUUGAAACUCAAAGGAAUUGACGGGCGGACCGCACAAGCGGUGGAGCAUGUGGUUUAAUUCGAAGCAACGCGAAGAAACCUUAUCAGGUCUUGACAUCCAGUGCUAAAGCUAAGAGAUUAUGCAGUUUCCCGUUUCGGGGACUCCUGAGACAGGUGUUGCAUGGACUGUCGUCAGGCUCGUGUCGAUGAGAUGUUGAGCUUAAGUUCUCGCACCAGCGCUAACCCUUGUCAUAACUGCCAUCAUUUCAGUGGUCACUCGUAUGAGACUGGCGGAUGAACGAACCGGGAAGGCAAUGGGUGAUGGCGGGUAAUUGUGA